ensembl:lincRNA
GUAUAUCCUCAAUAUGUAUCCAUUUUCCUAUGAAUGAAUCUAAUUUCUCAUUCUUUAUGGCUGAGUAGUAUUCCAUUUAAUAGAAAAACCACAUCUUUAUCCAGUUUCCAACUGAUUGGCAAAUGGGCUGUUUCCAAGUUUUGGCUAUUACAAACUGUGUUGCUAUAAACGUAGGUGUGCAUAUAUCACUGUGGUAUGAUUCUUUUAAUUCUUUUAGAAAGAUACCCAGCAGAGGGAUGGCUGGGUCAAAUGGAACCUCUAGUCCCAGCUCUUUGAGGUAUCUCUGUAUUGAUUUCCAUAGUGGUUGCACCAGUCUGCACUCCCACCAACAAUGGAGAAAGAGCAAGAUGACACGUGAACACAGUAGCUCAAUGGAAAUGUUUGUUUGUGGAGGUUCUGGAUGAAGCUGUAGACACGUCUUUCCUGACACUUAUUGAUUCACAGUGUGUUUGUAACUACAGUAGUCUACUGUAUUCCUCCUCCCACUGUUGUUGGGGACCUACAACCAGCUAAAUACUUUAAGGAUUGGGAAAAUAUUUUAUUGUAAGUAUUGAAUUUUUUUAGGGUUUUGUAAGUCAUGUAGUUUUUGUAACUCCUCUUUUCAACAACUCCCUUAAACCAUUCUUUGCUCACAGGUUGUAGGGACAGGGGUCUGUAAAUGAGAAAAUAAAAUAAGGGCACCUUAGGUCUUCUAGCUGAUUCUGUCUAGAAGGAAUUAAAAGAAAAGAAAACUUCACUAGAGAAAUUCCCCUGAAAAGCAAGUCCAAGACAGAGGUAGAAAAAAAUAGGUAAAGAAAGUCAACAAAUGGCCAAGAGACAAAAACCAAAAGCAAAACAACAACAACAAAACCCCACAACAACACACAAAAAAGCCAAAAACCAAAACCAAAACAGUUGACACACAAGAAGCUACACCCCCUUCCAAUAGAGUAUAGGGGAAGGGGGCAGGCUGACUAAUUUAAGGCACUGUGCACUCAUAUCUGUGCACUAACAUAUACAAAUAAAUGUGUGUGCAUUCACUCUAGAGUCACCAUAUUAUAUUAUUCACUCUAGGGUCAUUAUAGAGUACAGUAGAGGUCCACAUGCCCCCUUCCAAUUCUAAACUAGUCAUGAAUAACUACCCUUGCGAACUACUCACUGGGUAUCUUUCAAAGAUAAGGCCUUAAAAGGCAGGUCAAAGACAAAUAAACAGAGAAAGAAGCUGCAUGUAGACCACCAGAAGAAAUGAUGGUAGGUGGAAGGGCCCAAAGCCAAUCCAUUUUCCUACAGAUGAAUCAAGUUUAUGUCAGAGUAGUACUGCAUGACAGUCAUGAAUAACUACCCUUGCGAACUACUCACUGGGUAUCUUUCAAAGAUAAGGCCUUAAAAGGCAGGUCAAAGACAAAUAAACAGAGAAAGAAGCUGCAUGUAGACCACCAGAAGAAAUGAUGGUAGGUGGAAGGGCCCAAAGCCAAUCCAUUUUCCUACAGAUGAAUCAAGUUUAUGUCAGAGUAGUACUGCAUGACUGUAAAUACCACAUUUUCUUUAUUCAUUCAUCUGUAGAUGAGUACAUAGAGAUGGUUCCUGAGAUAUAGCUAUUAUGAAUUGUGCCGCU